CUUAUCUUCACCGGUCGAGAAGAUAAGUCUUCUUUCCUUUCAUUCUUCUUUCUUAUUCUAUUUUCUUCUUCUUCUUCUUCUUCUUCUUCUUCUUCUUUCUUCUUCUAUGUUUCCCUUCUUCUUCUCUCUGUCGACGUUCUUAUCGAAGAAUUGAGCAUGCUUUGAUAUGAGUGAUUCGUAGAAGUUUGUUAACUUGUUGAAUCAAAGGGGUAAGUGAUGAAUUGUGGUUGAUUAAACCGGGAGAAGAGAAUUGAUGUUACUUUGUAAGUUGAAUUUAGGGUUUCUUUGUGGAAGAAGUAGAUGAAUCAGAGAAAAUAGGAGAUGGGUUUGAUCGAUUGAAGGCUGCGGUGAACUCAAAUAAAGAGAAAGAUGUUUUGUUAGGUGAUUCUGUGAGAAUUAGGGUUUGUAAAGCAAAGUCAGGGAAUAUGAAAUUCAGAAGAAGGAUUAAAAGGUGAAAUUGGGAGUUUAAGGGUAGUAUUAGAGAUGGGUAUGAUUAAAUAUGAGAGGUUAGAGUUGUGUUUGAACUCUAAUUGGAAAACAGAGGAUUGAGAACUAAUUGUAGGGUUUCUGUGAAUCAGUGUAGCUGAUGAAGAAUGUUGGGUGUUGAUUGAGAAGAAUUGGGUAUUCAAUUUGGGGUUUGGUUACAGAGAAGACAAUAAAAGAAUUGAAGAGUUAGGAUUUCAAGAGAUUGUUCAGUAGAGUUUCAAAAUAAGAAACUAUUGAUGGUGUUGAGAUUUAUUGAACUCAUGAAGAUGAGGAAAAGAAAUUAGUGGAGAACUGGAUGGUGCUUGAGUAAAUCGGUUUGAGGUAAUUGUUCUUUCUAUGAAUUUUGUUUAGUUAUGCAGUUUUGUUGUUGAAUUUACGGAUUUAUCUAUAGAUAAUGAAAUGAAAUGGAUUUGGUGAGUAAGAAAUGGAAUUACGAAUGUUUAGGGUGUAUCUUGAAUUACACAGAAUAAGAUGUUGCAGGGAUUAAAUUGUGUUUUAGAAUUGUUAUUGAGAUGAGUGGCAGGGAAGAAGAUUUAGUGUUUGAAGUGAAGAACUUGUAUGUAAUGCUGGUUUCAUUAUACUUAACUGUUAAUGUUGAGAUUCACAACUAUUGGAGUUCCAGUUGUUAGAGUUUGAACUGAGGUUGAUGUGGGUAUGGUGAAAGAAUCUGAUGGUGUUGAUAUUACAGGGGAGGAGAUGUGUUUUAGUGGUGAUUGUGUUGAACUGAACUCAGGUUGUAUGAGAUGUUAUAUGACUGAAGUUUUAGAAAGAGAGUUAGACGAAUGUGUUGAGAUGAUCUAGUAUUGCUUAAGAGGUGCGAUUGCAGUUAGUUUGUAUUAAUAACGACCGAUUGAAAGGAUGAGCCAGUGGAUCAUGGAUCUCGAGGUAGGCGUGGCUUGUCAUCAAAAGAGUUUCAGAGACAGAUCAGAGUUGCGCAGCGAAAGCUACGAGGAG